CCUACCUUAAGCCCUACUUUGAUAAAAUUAAAACUUAAUUUUUAUCUCAUGUCAUAGGGUGGGGCAGAAAACAAUAUCACGUCUAUGUACAAACAAAAAUUGUUGAAAUGACAAAAGAUAACCAAACAUCAAACCAGAAGUGUCAUCCAGUUAAGAACCACCCCACGAUCAGACAUCUGGAAAUUGAAGAGUAUAUCUAUAAGCACGGGAAACUCUAGGUAGAAGAGAAAAUGUAUAGAAAUAAAAAUACUAUUAUGUACUCCCUUUGCCACCCUCGAUUAACACAAUAUCAAUGACUCAUCAAAGAUCUGUCCGCGUCCAAAAACCAGACCAAGAUAGCCCCCACAUUAAGCUCCUACAGUGAUGGAAUCAAAACCUAUUUUGUAUCUCCUGUCACAGGGUAGGCCCAAAACAAUAUCCAAGUCUAUAUAACAACAAAAGAAUAUAAUAGAGAGAUCAAAUGCAACCAAUUAUGAACCCAGAACUGCCUUCCAGUUAAGCUUGAUUAAGAACCAAACAACGAUCAGGCAUCUGGAAAUCGAAGAGAAUAACAAUAAGCACGGGAAAGUCAAGAUGGAAGAUAAAUUGUAGCAGAAUUAAUACAAUACUAUACUCCCUCUGACACCCUCGAUAAACAUUAUAUCAGUGACAGCAUCAAAAGUUGAUGUCUCCAGUAACUAGACCAAGAUUAGCCCCACCAUAAGCUGCUUCUUUCACAACUUAAUUUUUAACUCCUGUCACAAGGUGAGGCAGAAAACAAUAUCCACGUCUACGUAACAAAUAAAAGAUUGUUGAAACUGACAAAAGAUAACCAAGCAUACCAGAAGUGCCUUCCAGUUAAGAACCACACAACAAUCAGACAUCUGGAAAUUGAAGAGUAUAACUAUUAGCACGGGAAACUCUAGGUAGAAGAGAAAAUGUAGGUAGAAAAAAAAUACUAUUAGUACUCCCUUUACCACCCACUAUUAACACUAUAUCAAUGACAGCAUGAAGGAUUUGUCAGUGUCCAAAAACCAGACCAAGACAGCCCCCACCUUAAGCUCCUACUUGAUAGAAUCAGAACCUAUUUUGUAUCUCCUAUCACAGGGUGAGGCUGAAACCAACAUCCGAGUCUAAAUAACAACAAAAGAACUACAAUAGAGAGAGCAAAGGUAACCAACUAUCAAACCCGAACUGCCGUCCAGUUAAGCUUGAUUAAGAACCACACAACGAUCGGGCAUCUGGAAAUGAAGAGAAUAACGAUAAGCACCGGAAGGUCUAGAUGGAAGAUAAAUUGUAUAGAAGAAAUACUAUACUAUACUCCCUCUGCCACCCUCGAUAAACACACUAUAUAGUGACCACGUCAAAGGAUUGACUUGUGUGCAAUAACUUGACUAAGAUUAGCCCUACCUUAAGCUCCUACUUGAUAAAAUUAAAACUUAAUUUUUAUCUCAUGUCAUAGGGUGGGGCAGAAAACAAUAUCCACGUCUAUGUAGCAAACAAAAUUGUUGAACUGACAAAAGAUAACCAAACAUCAAACAGAAGUGUCUCCAGUUAAGAACCACCCCACGAUCAGACAUCUGGAAAUUGAAGAGUAUAUCUAUAAGCACGGGAAACUCGAGGUAGAAGAGAAAAUGUAGUAGAAUAAAAAUACUAUUAUGUACUCCCUUUGCCACCCUCGAUUAACACAAUAUCAAUGACUACAUCAAAGAUCUGUCGCGUCCAAAAACCAGACCAAGAUAGCCCCCACAUUAAGCUCCUACAGUGAUGGAAUCAAAACCUAUUUUGUAUCUCCUGUCACAGGGUAGGCUCAAAACAAUAUCCAAGUCUAUAUAACAACAAAAGAAAUAUAAUAGAGAGAUCAAAUGCAACCAAUUAUGAACCCAGAACUGCCUUCCAGUUAAGCUUGAUUAAGAACCAAACAACGAUCAGGCAUCUGGAAAUCGAAGAGAAUAACAAUAAGCACGGGAAAGUCAAGAUGGAAGAUAAAUUGUAGCAGAAUUAAUACAAUACUAUACUCCCUCUGACACCCUCGAUAAACAUUAUAUCAGUGACAGCAUCAAAAGUUGAUAGUCUCCAUAACUAGACCAAGAUUAGCCCCACCAUAAGUGCUUCUUUCACAACUUAAUUUUUAACCCCUGUCACAAGGUGAGGCAGAAAACAAUAUCCACGUCUACGUAACAAAUAAAAGAUUGUUGAAACUGACAAAAGAUAACCAAGCAUACCAGAAGUGCCUUCCAGUUAAGAACCACACAACAUCAGACAUCUGGAAAUUGAAGAGUAUAUCUAUAGCACGGGAAAUUCUAGGUAGAAGAGAAAAUGUAGUAGAAAAAAAAUACUAUUAUGUACUCCCUUUCCACCCCGAUUAAACAUAUCAAUGACCAUAAGAUUGUCGGUCCAAAAACCAGACCAAGACAGCCCCCACCUUAAGCUCCUACUUUGAUAGAAUCAGAACCUAUUUUGUAUCUCCUAUCACAGGGUGAGGCUGAAACCAACAUCGAGUCUAAAUAACAACAAAAGAACUACAAUAGAGAAAGCAAAGGUAACCAACUAUCAAACCCGAACUGCCGUCCAGUUAAGCUUGAUUAAGAACCACACAACGAUCGGGCAUCUGGAAAUGGAAGAGAAUAACGAUAAGCACCGGAAGGUCUAGAUGGAAGAUAAAUUGUAUUAGAAGAAAUACUAUCUAUACUCCCUCUGCCACCCUCGAUAAACACACUAUAUCAGUGACCACGUCAAAGGAUUGACUUGUGUGCAAUAACUUGACUAAGAUUAGCCCUACUUAAGCUCCUACUUUGAUAAAAUUAAAACUUAAUUUUUAUCUCAUGUCAUAGGGUGGGGCAGAAAACAAUAUCCACGUCUAUGUACAAACAAAAUUGUUGAAAUGACAAAAGAUAACCAAACAUCAAACCAGAAGUGUCUCCAGUUAAGAACCACCCAGAUCAGACAUACUGGAAAUUGAAGGUAUAUCUAUAAGACACGGAAAUUGGUAGAAGAGAAAAUUAAGUAGAAUAAAAACUAUUAUGUACUCCCUUUGCCACCCUCGAUUAACACAAUAUCAAUGACUCAUCAAAGAUCUGUCCGCGUACCAAAAACCAGACCAAGAUACCCCACAUUAAGCUCCUACAGUGAUGGAAUCAAAACCUAUUUUGUAUCUCCUGUCACAGGGUAGGCCCAAAACAAUAUCCAAGUCUAUAUAACAACAAAAGAUAUAUAAUAGAGAGAUCAAAUGCAACCAAUUAUGAACCCAGAACUGCCUUCCAGUUAAGCUUGAUUAAGAACCAAACAACGAUCAGGCAUCUGGAAAUCGAAGAGAAUAACAAUAAGCACGGGAAAGUCAAGAUGGAAGAUAAAUUAUAGCAGAAUUAAUACAAUACUAUACUCCCUCUGACACCCUCGAUAAACAUUAUAUCAGUGACAGCAUCAAAAGUUGAUAGUCUCCAUAACUAGACCAAGAUUAGCCCCACCAUAAGUGCUUCUUUCACAACUUAAUUUUUAACCCCUGUCACAAGGUGAGGCAGAAAACAAUAUCCACGUCUACGUAACAAAUAAAAGAUUGUUGAAACUGACAAAAGAUAACCAAGCAUACCAGAAGUGCCUUCCAGUUAAGAACCACCCCACAUCAGACAUCUGGAAAUUGAAGAGUAAAAUUAUAAGCACGGGAAACUCUAGCUAGAAGAGAAAAUGUAGUAGGAAAAAAUAACUAUUAUGUACUCCCUUUGCAACCCUCGAUUAACAACAUAUUAAUUGACAAUAUCAAAGAUUUUUCCGUGUCCAAAAACCAGACCAAGAUAGCCCCCACAUUAAGCUCCUAUUGCGAUGGUAUCAAAACCUAUUUUGUAUCUCCUGUCAUAGGGUGAGGGCCAAAUCAAUAUCCAAGUCUACAUAACAACAAAAUAACUAUAAUAGAAAGAGCAAGGGUAACCAAUUAUCAAACCAGAACUGCCUUCCAUUUAAGCUUGAUUAAAAACCACACAACAAUCAAGCAUCUGGAAAUUGAAGAGAAUAAAGAUAAGUAUGAGAAAGUCUAGGUGGAAGAUAAAUUUUAGUAGAAAAAAUUACUAUAAAAUACUCCCUCUGCUACCCUGGAUAAAACCUAUAUCAGAGACAGCGUGAAAGGUUUGAUCUGUGUCCAAUAACUUGACCAAGAUUAGCCCCACCUUAUGCUCCCUACUUUGAUAAAAUCAAAACUUAAAUUUUAUCUCCUGCCAUAGGAUGAGGAGAAAACAAUAUCCACGUCUACGUAGCAAACAAAAAACUGAUGAAAAAGAGAACCAAGCAUCAAACCAGAAGUGUCUUCAAGUUAAGAACCACACAACGACCAGACACCUGGGAUUGAAGAGUAUAACGAUGGAGAGUAUAACGAUAAGAACCAGAAACUCUGGGUAGAAUAGAAUAUGUAGAAGAUAAAAUACUAUUCUGUUCUCCAUCUGCCUCCCUCAAUAAACACUAUAUCAAUGCCGGCAUCAUAGAUUAGUCCAUGUCCAAAAACCCAACCAAGAUAGCCCCAACUUAGAGCUCCUACUUUGAUAGAAUUAAAACCUAUUUUGUAUCUCCUGUAACAGGGUGAGGCCCAAAACAAUAUCCAAGUCAACAUAACAACACAAAAACUACAUUUACAGAGCAAACGUAACCAAUUAUCAAACCAGCCUUCCCGUGAAGCUUGAUUAAGAACCACACAGAGAUCAGGCAUCUGCAAAUUGAUGAGAACAACAGUAAGCACGCGAUAGUCUAGGGAGAAGAUAAAAUGUUGUAAAAAAAAAUACUAUUCGAUACUCCCUCUGCCACACUCGAUAUUAACAGCGUCAAAGGUUUAUCUUCCGAUAACCAGAUUAGCCCCACCUUAAGCUCCUUCUUUUAAUACUUAAUUUUUAUCUCCUGUCAUAGGGUGAGGCAGAAAACAAUAUCCACGUCUACGUAACAAACAAAAAAUUGUUGAAACUGACAAAAGAUAACCAAGCAUCAAACCAGAAGUGCCUUCCAGUUAAGAACCACUGAACCACACAACGAAUCAUCAGACAUCUGGAGAUUGAAGAGUAUAACUAUAAGCACGGGAAACUUUAGGUAGAAGAGAAAAUGUAGUAGAAAAAAAAUACUACUCCAUGUACUCUUCCUAUUGCCACCCUUGAUUAACAAUAUACCAAUGACAGCAUCAAAGAUUUUUCCGUGCCAAAAACCAGACCAAGAUAGCCCCCACAUUAAGCUCCUAUUGUGAUAGAAUCAAAACCUAUUUUGUAUCUCCUGUCACAGAGUGAGGCCCAAAACAAUAUCGAGUCUACAUAACAACAAAAGAACUAAAAUAAAGAGAGCAAAGGUAACCAAUUAUCAAACCAGAACAGCCUUCCAGUGAAGCUAGAUUAAGAAGCUCAGAGCGAUCAAGCAUCUGAAAAUUGAUGAGAACGGUAAGCAAGGGCAAGUCUAGGUAGAGGAUAAAAUGUUGUAAAAAAAUUACUAUACUAUACUUCCUCUGCAACCCUUGAUAAAAACACAAUAUCAAUUUGUCAGCGUCAAAUGUUGGUCCGUGGCCAACAACCAGACCAAGAUUAGCACCACCAUAAGUUCCUAAUUUGAUAGAAUCAAAACAUAAUUUUUAUCUCCUGUCAUAGGGUGAGGCAGAAAACAUAAAUUCAUCAUGAUGAUCUUGAGGCUCCUCACCAGCGAUUAAUCUGUGGCCAGAGAAGAGAACAAUUGAGUAAAUUCAUAACUAUCAGCGUUUCCACCAACUGCCGAUAACCAUCAAACUAUCAGCGCGAAAGGAAAAGGACAAAAUAAACCUUCUGGCUUGAGAGAUCACGAGCUAUCCAAUCGGUUGCCCUACAGAUACAAACGAAAGUAAGCCCCGAUAACCAAUACGGCAGAGGAAAUCAUGAUCUAAAUAGACCGUCAAAACUUGAACUAUAAAAUCUGCACUCGUUGCGAAUAACUGAAUAUUAACCCAAAUCAGCAGAAGGAAUCACAAUAACCGAUCUACACAAAUCAAAUACGUCAAAGUAGAUUGAACAGAAAUCCUCCGCUAGGUCAUCUAUCCUCGCCGCCAUAUGUCAUACCAGACAGGGAAGGCUAAUGGAAAUCGCAACACAAGGAGAGAGUAACCCGAUCGAAAACACAAAACUUAAUCGCCAACGAAAUCGCACCACAAAACACAAUAACCCUAGAUAUGAAUUCAGGAGAAGAGGGCCACAAUAGAAGAAAAAUAAUAGCGAAACACGCAAAGAGGGGGGAUGGGUAGGAGAAUGUGGGGAGAUAUGGUAUAUAUAGUGAGUCAUAGAGAGACUUG
rnacentral:lncRNA from 1 species